rnacentral:lncRNA from 1 species
GGCCUCCUGGGCUUCGGGGGCGGCCCCGCGGCAUCCGGGUCCGGCCGGCCCGGCUCGGCACCCACACCCCUCCACUCACUCACACUCACACUCACACGCGGCGGCGGGGCCGCGCACGCGCGGGCACCGGGCGGGCGCGCCCAGCCGGCGGCAGAGGCGGCGGAGCGGCCCGGCGGCGGGCGGCGGCCGAGCGCCGCCGGGCUCACGGGGAAAGCGCCCGAACGCGCGCACCGGAGCUCUCGAACCGCCCCGCCUCGGCGGGUCCAUGGCCCGCGGCCCGCGUGGGGGCGUAGGCGCGGGCGCAGUGGGCGGGGGCGGUCGCGGCGCAUGCGCGGGCGCCGCCGCGGGGCCUUCGCGGACGGAGGGGAGCGAGGGGGUCACCGGGCCGGGCCGCGAGCCCUGGAGCUCGGCCAGGCGUGGACCCCGGGCCAGCCCCGCGCCUCUGUGGCCCGGGCGCCUCGUGCGUGUCCGCGAGCUCGCGUGCGCGCGUCACCUCGGACCCCAGCAUGGCUUGGAGGGCGGCCCUACCCGCGCCGCCCUAGUGCUGCGAAGGGCCUGGGAGCCCAAACCCGGAACCACCACCUGGGACUGGGAAGACGACAUGGUCAGAAGUCGAUCACCGAUAGCACGGAACUGCCCCUCUCCGGGGAGGUAGGGUACACAGAGGGCAGCCACCUCGAAAGAGAAGACAGCCCUCUCCAAGCCGCUUCAAUCCUCAACACAGCCAGCCUAUUGCCGGCCAGUCUUCAUCUGGAGCCCAAGGUAAUUUCUAAUUCCUCGGCUGUGGAAAGCGUGGUGAUGACGUGACAUGCACGGAUUUAUACAGAUGCACAGCAUCUCCUGAGGGAAAAGAGUAGAUGUGUGGAUGUGAGAUCCGUCAGGCCAAGGGUUUAUCUACCAAGAUGAGCGAGACUCACACUCCAGAAAGUGACACCCUUGCUUACACCCUGCGAAGAGCACAGAAGGUUGUCAGCUUCCCAAAUUUUUACUAACACUAAGCAUUACCAUUCGGGAUGAAAAAAAAAAAUCCUUGCCAUCUUGUGCAGCCAAAAAGGCAUGUUUUCACCAUAUUUUUACUUUGCAUUUCUUUAGCAACUUUUAAGUUGGACGUAUUCUAUUAGCUCGUUGGCCUUUUGGGCUUUUUCAUUUGUGAACACUUGUUUGGAUCCUUAACCCUUUUCUCUGGAGGUGGGGUGAUGGGAUUGCCUUUUUCUUAUUGAUCUGUGAGAGUAUUUU